UACGGAGGGAGCUAGCGUUGUUCGGAAUUACUGGGCGUAAGGCGCACGUAGGCGGCUUUGUAAGUUAGAGGUGAAAGCCCGGGGCUCAACCCCGGAAUUGCCUUUAAGACUGCAUCGCUUGAAUCCGGGAGAGGUGAGUGGAAUUCCGAGUGUAGAGGUGAAAUUCGUAGAUAUUCGGAAGAACACCAGUGGCGAAGGCGGCUCACUGGACCGGUAUUGACGCUGAGGUGCGAAAGCGUGGGGAGCAAACAGG
rnacentral:rRNA from 1 species